CUGUUGAAGAAAAAUUUGGACAAAAUUUUCUGUAAAAACCUGUCACGCCAAAAAAUCGCAUUAACUCUUUCUUGGUUGAAGAAAAUCGGGAACUUUACAAUAGCCCCAACUUAGCCAUAAUAGGUGUAACAUAACCUUGACCUACUUUAUGACCUAAAUACUCUACAAUAGCAUGCCAUAAGUCACUCUUUGCAAGGUUCACUGUUAAAGUUCCUUUUGCCAGAAUGUCGAAGAAUGCACGCAUGAUUUGGAGAUGUUCCUCCCAUGUGUCGCUGUAGAUUAUAGCAUCAUCAAUGUAGGCUUCACAUCUUUGAAUGUUAUGAAGAAUGGAAUGAGUCAUCUGCUAAAAGGUCGCUGGAGCAUUCUUCAUACAAAACGGCAUCACUUUGUAUUGGAAGAGGCCAUCAAGAGUCACAAAUGCAGAUAUUUCUUUCGCUCUCUCAGUCAAUGGCACUUACUUGUAACCCUUCAACAGUUCAAAUUUAUUGACAAAUUUGGCAUUUCCGAUUUUGUCAAUGUAGUAAUUAAUUCUAGGAAUCGGAUAAGAGUCUGUCUUCGUGACAGAAUUCAUUUCUCUAAAGUCAGUACAUAAUCGGUAGGUACCAUCACGCUUUGGAAGGUGAGCUCCAGUCAAGUUCACUCAUGUCAUUGUCCACUUCUGUUCUUAAAUACUAUAAUUCUGAUGGAAAUUUCGCAGUCAUGAUACAUUUUAUAAAAUGGAAAUAUGUUGAAAUCUCCAUGACCGCAAUAGGGGGAAUACUUUAUAAAAAAUUUUAAUCACAAACUUGAUAGAAAAUAACUGUGUAAAAUUGAAACUACAUUGAACUGAACUCUGUAAUUGAUUUCCAAGUAUUGUCUAAUAUUGUGUGUAUUAUACCGCUACCAGUGUAAUUUAUUAUGACGUCACAAAGGACAAUUACUUACGUCGUGAUAUGUUGACGUUACUUAGCAAUAUUAUUUCAUUUUAUAACUGUCUGAAGAGGCAUUAAAGCCGAAAGCGCUAACAGUGAAAUGUUAUUCGAGUUUUGUGUUUCUUGACUUUUAUUAUUGGAUGUAUUUACUGUAUAUAUAUAUACAUAUAAACCACGACAAAUACAGCUCAAUUCUCUUAUGGAAACAUAUAUAAAAUGAUACUGCAAAAACAGGAAGUAAAUGAAGUGCUAUUCUCACGAUAUGCUAACCAGAUGAAGUUUUGACUUGAUUUUUCAUAAUUAGGAUGUAUUUUCGAACUGUUAUGUUGUAUUUCAUGAUCAUACAAUUUUGGAAUUUAGAUUGUAAUAAACGAAAAUGCAAAAGGUAUGGAGAAGAUGUGUGCUGUCGAAAUUUCCGUUACAAUGAAGCUUUAGACACAUGCGAAGAUUGCCCUAUUGGAUACCAUUACUGGAACUGUUCCAGAAAAUGUCAACAUCCAUUUUACGGAAAAGACUGUCAAAAGGAAUGCAAUUGUAACAUGGAUGAUUGUCAUUUUUCCUAUGGCUGUCCAAGUAUCAAAUCUUCCACGCAAGUAACAACACACACUGAAUAUGAAAUUACUUUACGUACGAUAACACGGAUGAUAGCCAGUACCAUUACACAACUACCAAAUAAACAAACCAUUGCUGCAAAAACACCGAAUAAUUUUCUCUUAAAUAAAACAAAUCUUAUAAUUAUCAUUGGAGCGGUAGGACUAGGACUGUUUCUUCUGCUGUUUGGGAUGUUGGUUGGUGUAUAUAUCUACAAAAGCCUUCAAAGGAAUGUAGGUAGGAUACCUAAUAAUGAUUUUGCUGGAAAAGAAGAUCACAGCUAUACACCGAUUCGUCAACAAGCAGAAACUCAUCAGACAGAAUCCCAAGCAGGAAAUAUUUGUGAAAACUCGGCGUAUCUAACUCCAUUGAGUGAAGGAAUGGGUCUAUAUGAGGAAGUUGUUCUCUAUGAUUUUCCGGAAGAAUCCCUGGAUAGGAAAGAAUGCCAAAUUGAACCAUAUUACAGUGACACUGCAAAUAAUGUACCAGACACGUAUUUAACCCCUACAUCUGUAUCACAACAUGUAUAUGUAGAAGUAAUACAAUGACAAUGUAUUCACGCAUGUACACUCAGACCUACAAUUCUAGCAACACUAGUGAUGGAAAGUGGAAUGAAAUCUGGGUUGUAAGAUGGUAGAUACAUUUUUAUCCAUUCUUCAGCUUUCUGGAAAUGUCAUUUCGGAGUUUCAGACAGGCUUUGUUUCCUGAAAUAAACUUUAAUUUAAAAAAAAUGUUUAGAAUUUCUUACUUUAUUUUGAACUACAUGUAUUUGGAAUAAGUAAAUACUUGUAAUGUUCAAGGAACAUUAUAUGGAACGAGCACGUGGACAUUAUAUGGAACGAGCACGUGGGAUAUUAAUAUCAUAGUUGUUACCUUCCCAUUGCAUGUGUCAUGGAAGGAUGGUUGUAUAGGACAUCAUCUGCUGAUUCACAAUGGCCUUUCUUGUUUUUCCU